GUCCUCAUGGAUCAUGGCAGAUCAUCCCGUUACUGUAGAUGGGGAAGCAACUUCCACCGGGAGGGCGGCGGUUCGAUUCCGCCCGAGGACA